rnacentral:tRNA from 1 species
GGGCGAUUAGCUCAGUUGGUAGAGCAGCUGACUCUUAAUCAGCGGGUCGCAGGUUCGAGUCCUGCAUCGCCCACCA